GUGGUUUAGUAGUUAGAGCAUCCGCCUCGGAUGCGGGAGGUCGUGGGUUCUAUCCCCGGCCAAAUCA